AUCAGUUCUUGGCCUUUUGGUUAAGAUAAAGCAUAGUGUCUGGUCUUAUCAAUUUAAUGUCUGAUAUACCCUCUAACCAAGGAUAAUAUAUUUGAUGAGAUAGAAAUGCUUACCCUGAUUUAAACAUUAUACAAUGUUUUCAUGUAUCUAAGUGUAUACUACCCUGCUACUAUGCACACACUUG
ensembl:snRNA U2 U2 spliceosomal RNA